CCUACGGGAGGCUGCAGUGGGGAAUUUUGCGCAAUGGGCGAAAGCCUGACGCAGCAACGCCGCGUGGGUGAUGAAGGUCUUCGGAUCGUAAAACCCUGUCGUUGGGGACGAAGGUGGGGGCGUUAAUAGCGUUUCUGCUUGACGGUACCCGGAGAGGAAGCCCCGGCUAACUCUGUGCCAGCAGCCGCGGUAAUACAGAGGGGGCAAGCGGUACUCGGAAGUCUUGGGGGCGGAGGGCGAGUAGGGGGGUGUAAUCCCCGAGCUCAACUUGGGAACUGCAUCUGAGACUGGAAGGCUAGAGUACUGGAGAGGGUGGUGGAAUUCCUCGUGUAGCGGUGAAAUGCGUAGAGAUGAGGAGGAACACCAGUGGCGAAGGCGGCCACCUGGACAGUAACUGACGCUGAGGCGCGAAAGUUUGGGUAGCAAACAGGAUUAGAUACCCUGGUAGUC
rnacentral:rRNA from 1 species